rnacentral:lncRNA from 1 species
ACACUGUUAAUUAGGCAUGCAUUAGUAAAAUAUAUACAUACCUAGACAUGUUGAACAUGGGAAAAUGUCUAAAUCUAAAAAACAAAAAUAUCAAAGUAUCAAAAUAAAAUCACUCGUUUGACAUAUCAACAAAGUAACAUAUUUUUUUCAGUAUUUCAUAAAUUGGUAGGAAUCAGAAUCGCAAUAAUUAAUCAUAUGUUAAUUUUUGUUAUGUUAUUCAUAACAUGUAUGUGGUA